UCCUGCUGGAGGAGUCGCUAAAGUUGAAUAAGGAAUUUUCAAAAGUUUCAAUGCAUUGCAUGUGCAAAUACAGGUUUUUUACUUGCAAGGAUUUAUUCACUCAAUCAGUUCCUCCUGAAAUCUGAAUAUUUAUGCGGAGAGCUUUAAAUCCUCUGGACUUCAAGGAAACUUACAAGUUGAUGAAAUUGACACAUUAGGCUAUUAGCGGGGUAGCUUGGUUAUCAUAGUAUAUGUUAAAUAGGUGAAUGCAUAUUGUGCCCAUGAAAUUGUUUAAAUGCACCCGGAAUUUGAUUGGUAUCAAGUAAGUUUUGCACUCUCAUAGAAUGAUUGUGUUCUCAUGCACAAAAAACUUGCUGUAGUUUUCGCUGGCUUAAAGUUUGCUGAAGCAUCUUAGGCUUCAAUAAUAUAUUUCUCCCUCUUAGCUGAUGAGAUGUGCAGCAAGUAUCAGUAAUGAAGAUCAUGCAUUCUGAAUUUCCAGG
rnacentral:misc_RNA from 1 species